CUGUGUGAAAAAUUGUCAGACAAAAUGAGGAGGACACAAAUGCAGGCUCAGACACAGGGCAGAUCAGUCUUCAGAGUUUAAUCAGUCCAAGUCGGUACACAGGUAAGCAAAAACGGAGGCAAAAGUACAAUCUAGGAGCAGGCAAAAAACAGUGGUC